rnacentral:rRNA from 1 species
AGAGUUUGAUCCUGGCUCAGGACGAACGCUGGCGGCGUGCUUCAAACAUGCAAGUCGAACGGAGCCGGAGCGGGCUUGCCCGCUCCGCUUAGUGGCGGACUGGUGAGUAACGCGUGAGUAACCUGCCUCAAACAGGGGGAUAACAGAGGGAAACUUCUGCUAAUACCGCAUAAGACCCCGAUAUGGCAUCAUAAAGAGGUCAAAGGAGCAAUCUGGUUUGAGAUGGGCUUGCGUUUCAUUAGCUAGUUGGUGAGGGUAAAGGCCCACCAAGGCGACGAUGAAUAGCCGACCUGAGAGGGUGAUCGGCCACACUGGAACUGAGAUACGGUCCAGACUCCUACGGGAGGCAGCAGUUAGGAAUAUUGGGCAAUGGAGGGAACUCUGACCCAGCAACGCCGCGUGAAGGAAGAAGGUUUUCGGACUGUAAACUUCUGUUCUAGGGGAAAAAGCAAGUGAUGGUACCCUAGGAGAAAGCCACGGCUAACUACGUGCCAGCAGCCGCGGUAAUACGUAGGUGGCGAGCGUUGUCCGGAAUGACUGGGCGUAAAGGGAGCGUAGGUGGCAUCUUAAGUUAGGUGUGAAAGCCCGUGGCUUAACCACGGAACUGCACUUAAAACUGGGGAGCUAGAGUACAGGAGGGGUAAGCGGAAUUUCUAGUGUAGCGGUGGAAUGCUUAGAUAUUAGGAAGAACACCAGAGGCGAAGGCGGCUUACUGGACUGCAACUGACACUGAGGCUCGAAAGCGUGGGGAGCAAACAGGAUUAGAUACCCUGGUAGUCCACGCCCUAAACGAUGGAUAC